rnacentral:rRNA from 1 species
GACGAACGCUGGCGGCGUGCUUAACACAUGCAAGUCGAACGGAAAGGCCUCUUUCGGGGGGUACUCGAGUGGCGAACGGGUGAGUAACACGUGAGUAACCUGCCCUUGACUUUGGGUUAACUUCAGGAAACUGGGCCUAAUACCGGCUAGGAGCUCCUGCUGCAUGGUGGGGGUUGGAAAGUUUCGGCGGCUGGGGGUGGCCUCGCGGCUUAUCCGCUUGUUGGUGGGGUAGUGGCUUACCAAGGCGUUGACGGGUAGCCGGCCUGAGAGAGUGACCGGCCACAUUGGGACUGAGAUACGGCCCAGACUCCUACGGGAGGCAGCAGUGGGGAAUAUUGCACAAUGGGUGGAAGCCUGAUGCAGCAACGCCGUGUGCGGGAUGACGGCCUUCGGGUUGUAAACCGCUUUCGCUCAUGACGAAGCUUUGUGUGACGGUAGUGGGUAAAGAAGCACCGGCUAACUACGUG